rnacentral:rRNA from 1 species
AUACGGAGGAUCCGAGCGUUAUCCGGAUUUAUUGGGUUUAAAGGGUGCGCAGGCGGCCAUUUAAGUCAGCGGUUAAAUCGUGGGGCUCAACCCCAUUCUGCCGUUGAUACUGGGUGGCUUGAUUGCGGUCGAGGUUGGCGGAAUUCGUUGUGUAGCGGUGAAAUGCAUAGAUAUGACGAAGAACACCGAUUGCGUAGGCAGCUGACCAGACCGCAAAUGACGCUCAUGCACGAAAGUGAGGGGAUCGAACAGUAUUAGAUACCCUGGUAGUCCGCACAGUAAACGAUGAAUACUUGUUUUCGGCGAUAUAAUGUCGGAGGCAAAGCGAAAGCGAUAAGUAUUCCACCUGGGGAGUUCGCCGGCAACGGUGAAACUCAAAUGAAUUGGCGGGG